GAGUUUGAUCCUGGCUCAGAGUGAACGCUGGCGGCAGGCCUAACACAUGCAAGUCGAACGGCAGCACAGAGGAGCUUGCUCCUUGGGUGGCGAGUGGCGGACGGGUGAGGAAUGCAUCGGAAUCUGCCUAUUUGUGGGGGAUAACGUAGGGAAACUUACGCUAAUACCGCAUACGUCCUACGGGAGAAAGUGGGGGACCUUCGGGCCUCACGCAGAUAGAUGAGCCGAUGCCGGAUUAGCUAGUUGGCGGGGUAAAGGCCCACCAAGGCGACGAUCCGUAGCUGGUCUGAGAGGAUGAUCAGCCACACUGGAACUGAGACACGGUCCAGACUCCUACGGGAGGCAGCAGUGGGGAAUAUUGGACAAUGGGCGCAAGCCUGAUCCAGCCAUGCCGCGUGUGUGAAGAAGGCCUUCGGUU
rnacentral:rRNA from 1 species